ensembl:lncRNA
AUGUCCAGGAUCACCGCGGUAACGAUCUUGCUCAUCAUUCUCGUCAACAGCUUGUGCAGCAGCGCAGCAGCUCCUUCCCAUGGAGUAUCCCUGUAUAUUCGCAAGUGCAGAUGCACAGAGAUUUCCACAGGCAGGUUUAAGUGUCCCAAACCGCUCAUGCCCACAAACUACAACAAGGAGCGGGAUGUGUUAAAAUGCAUCUGCAAAAAAAUACAAGAAGAGAAGCGUUCAGAUCUUCUGCAGUUCUGCCGUAUGAACUACAAAAACAAGUUUACUACAGUGCUCUAAGAUAAACAAGUCCAGUCACUGACUAACCAAACUUAAUAUCCUGUUACGUAUGACAAUAAUCUUGUUAUGUAGAUGUUUGUGAUUUUUUCUGAAAUUGUAAAUAAAGACAGAUAUUUUUUUAUUACAUAGAGUCUCGUGUCCUUUUGUGUUUCCACAUAUUUAACUGAAAAAGUCCUCAACCUUGAAAACAAAUAAAAUGAACAUUUUUAAUAUCCAAUUAUUCAAUUUUUUGUCCUUUUUUUUUAGUAUUUUGAAACUUUAAAAAUAUGAAAGGGAAACCAUUAUUGUUAAAUGUGAUCUGGUCUCACUCUGAAUUGUGUUCAUAGAUUUCAUAGAGACAAUAACAUAAAUACAUUGAUUAACAGUGAACCAUUUCUAUGGAGGAUUACUUGUUUCCCAGCUUCCUGCCCUCCAGUCUUUAUGUUGAACUAUAGUAAAAGAAGUUCAGCACAAAAGUGAGAGUGGUUUCUAUGUCAUCCAGAGUUAAACAAGAGAUUAAAGGGACAUUUUCCCUAAAUGUCAUCAAAGCGUGUGUUGCUUCAAUGGCAGGAAUGCUUGUGAAAUAAACGACUCAUUUCUUCAAUGCUGUUACGAAAUCCUCACCACACAGGCAGGAAUGUCCACUGAUAUAUAAACUGAUGAUACCGUUCAUCUUCUUUUUUCAAACGUUCGAAUUUAUUUUUAUGCCUUCAACUGAAAACAACAAUGAAACAACAAAAUCAAGACACAGAAUCACUUCACAUGAUAGCCUCACACGUCCUGUUCUUGUCUUACUGUCAGUUACUGUUAAUAAUCAGGUCCUACAUUUCUGAGCAGACUUGAUAUAUUUUCAGGCUGUAGCAUUUUUAAUGCUACCAGAGCUGAUUUCUGUUAGCUGUGGCCCUUGAAGAAGUAGACCAAAGUUUUGUUUGAUAGAGGCAUCGAUUCACAACUUUAUCUGCCAAGACAAAGGAAUAUUUAGAUAUCAGCACACCAGCACUGCACAUGUGGACAUGCUUCAAUAGGAAUUGCCUUUGCAAAUCAUUUUGUGUAACUUUCAAACUUAAAUAGUCGUAUUUUCCUUUAGUUGAAAGCACUAAUGGAAACAAUUGACAUUAGCCCAUUGUACCAACACAGGCACACUCUCUGUUACUGAAUAGUGAAGUAAAACCUGUGGGCCAUGAGUCCUUUUAGAGUUCUCUCUUUGAAACCCAAAUCCUGCAGGUCAGCAGACAUAACUGUCAUGUGAACACAGAGGCUUGUUUUUCCAAAUAAUACGAUCCAUCUGAUUUCAGGUUUAUAGCAGAACUCUGCAGGCAAAGCGCCAUUUUGUCUCUAAUGUUCCUCAAAGGCUUGUAGGAGCAAGUCCACUCGGCAGCAGCCAUCUUGGCAACAAUUUCAUGAAGUUUUUUCCAGCUAAACAAGUCUUUAUCGAUAAGGAAGGGUUCAUAUCCAUAGCAUUAAAACAUUAAAACUUCAUAGACCAGUGCAAAAACAUGUCUGGCUUGUUAUCAUUUAGAUCGCACUACCAAAUGAUUCUUUGGGUCUAGUGGGGGACAGCCUCCAUCUUUGGUUACACUGAACUCUCCUACACACAUCUGUUCAGGAUCCAUUGAGUCUCUCUGAUGAAGCCUGGUUUUAAAUUUACACCUCAGUAAUGCCACAGUGCAAAAAUUGUGGCCAGCACUCAGUUUUCCAAUGAUUUGGAUAAGUUCUAAGAUUUUACAGAUGAAUCCAUGCAAAGCUGAGAUAGCAUCUGAACAACAAAACAGAAACAUUAACAAACAAGAAAACAUCCCCCUUAAACAUGUCAGGACUGAUCUGUAAGUUCAAACUCCCCACACCGUGUCAGUGUGGACUCGCUGCGGGGGUAUAUAACUCCCCGCAGAUCCUCGUCUUCUGCAGAAGAAUCUGAACACGUCAGCGGGAACAGACGAACCUUCGCCAUCAUGUCCAGGAUCACAGGGAUCACGCUGCUGCUCAUCGUUCUGGUCAGCAGCUUGUGUGACAGCACAG